CAAUAUGUUAUAACGACUGUCACACCACUAUAGCGGGUUGGUGGUCACUAUAGCAGGUUAGUCAGGAAUUAAUGCAAGAAAAGUCUCAAAAUGUUUCAUUAUUAUGCAACUUCGUUCUUGGGAAGAGAAAGGCCGAGUUGGAGAAAUUAUCUUCAAUUUUUCCACGAAUUUAUUCUGUAAAGAUAAUUUAAUUACCGCCCUAACUUUUAUUUCAAAUUCUUAAGCCUUAGAGUCUAGAGUGGUACUCAUAGAGGGAGGGGAGGUGAUUUGAAGUAAUGGUGGGAAAAACACUGAUUUAAAUAAAAUAAUCAUGAAUUUGGCCUAGGAUUAGGAUUAAGUAAUAAUUUGAGUUUAAUAAGGUCAUUGUUUAUUAAUUAUUGUUUUUUAUUAUUAUCUUACACCAAGAACAAGUCAAAGCGUUACGAAAAGGGGAACCUCAAG
rnacentral:misc_RNA from 1 species